rnacentral:rRNA from 1 species
GACGAACGCUGGCGGCGUGCUUAACACAUGCAAGUCGAACGGAAAGGCCCUGCUUUUGUGGGGUGCUCGAGUGGCGAACGGGUGAGUAACACGUGAGUAACCUGCCCUUGACUUUGGGAUAACUUCAGGAAACUGGGGCUAAUACCGGAUAGGAGCUCCUGCUGCAUGGUGGGGGUUGGAAAGUUUCGGCGGUAUGGGAUGGACUCGCGGCUUAUCAGCUUGUUGGUGGGGUAGUGGCUUACCCAGGCUUUGACGGGUAGCCGGCCUGAGAGGGUGACCGGCCACAUUGGGACUGAGAUACGGCCCAGACUCCUACGGGAGGCAGCAGUGGGGAAUAUUGCACAAUGGGCGGAAGCCUGAUGCAGCGACGCCGCGUGCGGGAUGACGGCCUUCGGGUUGUAAACCGCUGUCGCCUGUGACGAAGCGUGAGUGACGGUAAUGGGUAAAGAAGCACCGGCUAACUACGUG